rnacentral:misc_RNA from 1 species
GAGCUGUCAAGGGUGCCAGAGCCGGCAGCCCGGAAGAUCAGCCACAAUCCGAUCGUGCAGCCGACGUAAACGAAGACGUAGUAGUAAACGAAGACGUAGGCGAGAACGAAACGCGCAACGGUCGUCGUAGUUCGGUGGUCCAUCGCUGGAUUGUGCCAUGCCAUAUAAAUGUAGGCGGCGACGAAUGCGAUGGCGUAGGGAAUGAGUGCGGUUUUGAUUCGUUUCCACAGUAUCACCCGCCCGGAGAGAG